rnacentral:misc_RNA from 1 species
CCUGUUAUUGUCAACUUCUCUCAGGACAAAUCUUGGCGUGUACGCCACAUGGUUGCAAAUCAAUUAUGUAAACUUUGUGAAGCUAUGGGGCCUGAACCUACUAGGACUGACUUGGUUCCUGCAUAUGUACGCUUGCUUCGUGACAAUGAGGCUGAAGUACGUAUAGCAGCUGCUGCUGGCAAAGUAACCAAGUUCUGCUGCAUUUUAAAUCCGGAACUUGCUAUUCAGCAUAUUCUCCCCUGUGUAAAGGAACUUUCAUCAGAUUCUUCCCAGCAUGUCCGGUCUGCUUUGGCUUCAGUUAUAAUGGAAAUGGCUCCUGUCCUGGGGAAGGAUGCUACCAUUGAGCAGCUUCUUCCAAUUUUUCUUUC